AGUGAACGCUGGCGGUAGGCCUAACACAUGCAAGUCGAACGGCAGCACUGGAGAGCUUGCUCUCUGGGUGGCGAGUGGCGGACGGGUGAGGAAUACAUCGGAAUCUACCUUUUCGUGGGGGAUAACGUAGGGAAACUUACGCUAAUACCGCAUACGACCUACGGGUGAAAGUGGGGGACCGCAAGGCCUCACGCGAUUAGAUGAGCCGAUGUCCGAUUAGCUAGUUGGCGGGGUAAUGGCCCACCAAGGCGACGAUCGGUAGCUGGUCUGAGAGGAUGAUCAGCCACACUGGAACUGAGACACGGUCCAGACUCCUACGGGAGGCAGCAGUGGGGAAUAUUGGACAAUGGGCGCAAGCCUGAUCCAGCCAUACCGCGUGGGUGAAGAAGGCCUUCGGGUUGUAAAGCCCUUUUGUUGGGAAAGAAAUCCUAUCGGUUAAUAACCGGUGGGGAUGACGGUACCCAAAGAAUAAGCACCGGCUAACUUCGUGCCAGCAGCCGCGGUAAUAC
rnacentral:rRNA from 1 species